AGUGGACACAUUUCGAGCUGGUCAAGCUAUCAGUAUUCCAUGGUGAGGCACCUUAUAAUUGCAGGAACCCACAGUGGAUGCACUGGACCAGAAAUGAAGAUUCUUCCUUGAGUACCAGCCUAGGAUGGCAUCUUGGUCGUAGGAGCCAGGAGACCCUUGUUGCUAUGGGGCAGAGACCCAGAUUUCACAUAUCCGCUGUAUUAGGGAUUGCCUAAAUAACAAUGGGAAUGUGGAAGCCGAGAUGAGUGAAUAGAAGCUCAAGGAGAUUUCAGCCUCCAUUGUGAUCAAGGUUCUCCUUUUCAGGUUGCUAUGGGACAGACACCCAGUGGACACAUUCGAGCUGAGCAAGCUAUAAGUAUUUCACGGUGAUGGUGCCUUAUCAUUGCCAGAACCCAUGUUGGACGCACUGGACUUCAGGAGGAUUAUUCUUUGAGCGCCAGCGUAGGAUGGCAUCUUGGUCAUAGGAGCCAGGAGACCCAUAAUAGAAGCUCAAGGUGAUUUUGGCCUCCAUUGUGAUCAAGGUUCUCCUUCUCAGGUUGCUAUGGGACAGAGACCCAGAAUGAAUGCACUAGAGAUGGUUUAGAAUCAUCCAUGGUCACCAGAUCUGUGGUUGCCUCUGUAUAAUAGGAGGAUGGAGAUUAAUGACAGAUGUUCCCACUACUUCAGCUUCUGCUGUGCUCAGUUGUCCUGCUGCUUCUGUGUCAGAAAAUAACUAAGAAUGAAUGCAUCAUUUAGCAUCUUCCAUGGGCAUGAGCUCUGUGGUUGCUUCUGUAUAAUAGGAGGAUGAAGAUUAAUAGUGGACACACUGGACCUGAAAGAAAGAUUCUUCCUUGAGCACCAGCCUAGGAUGGCAUCUUUGUUUUAGGAGCCAAGAGAACAGUAAUAGCAGCUCAAGGUGAUUUCAGCCUCCAUUGUGAUCAAGGCUCUCCUUUUCUGGUUGCUAUGGGACAGAGACCCAGAAUGGAUGCCCUUGAGCUGAUCUAAGCAUCUUGCAUGGUCAGGAGCCCUGUGGUUGCAUCUGUGUGUUAGGAGGAAGGGGAACAAUAUGUAGAUGAUAUUGGAGAAAAGAGCCCCUCCUGGACCACUGAUGAUGACUGGAGGCAUAGGAGUCAUAUAUGAAUGGGAGCGCUUCAGCUGGUUGAAGGAUUCUUCUAUGGUCCUGAGAGCUCUGGUUGCAUUCACGUGUUAGGACUGUGGAGACCAUAAGCGACACAGUGGACCUGAUUUAAGGACCUUUCCUUGAUCGACAGCCUUAGGAUAGGAUCUGUGUUUUAGGAUCCCAGAGAUCUAUGUGAGUAAUAAGCAAAUUCUUUCCUUGGUUUGGAUGUUUUGUUAAGGGUCUUCAUUGUAUUAACCAAAAGAAUUAAAAAUAUUCCAGAAAGUCCAAUGUGUCCUUGUAACAAAUAUGUGAUUAAUAGAAUCACAAUGAUUAAAGCAUUUAUGAAAAGUUGUAUAAUUAAUAACAAAGAUACAUUGAUUUGAGAAUGACUCAAGAUACAUAUCAGGAAUAACAAGGACUUCUUGGUGUUUCGUGAAUCAUAUAGUUUUAAAGUUGUAAUUAGUGAAUUAAUGAAUUAACCAAUAAAUGAUAUAGAAUGAAUGAAGAGA